GUGCUUGCUUCGGUAGCACAUAUACUAAAAUUGGAAUGAUACAGAGAAGAUUACCAUGGCCUCUGCACAAGGACAACACAGAAAUUCAUGAAGAAUUCCAUCAAAAA